rnacentral:lncRNA from 13 species
AUGAACAAGAUGGCGGAAGAGAAACAUAAGAUCAUCAUAUAUAUUUUCCCCUUGCUCAGGAGCCCAAGUGCAAAAGGCCACAGACAACCGUCUCUUCUAUUGGGGGAUGAUAUCAGGCGUUGCAGCAUGUGUAGCUGUCCUGGUGUUUGGUGGUGUAAUCAUGAGGAAAAUUCAUCUCAGGAGAACACAGCUACAAGUGUCUGGAACCGUCAACGAGGUGCCACAACACUGCUUGCUGUUGCCUGUUAGUCAGAUGAAGGCAGCCGAGUCUUCAUUUAUAACCGUUGCGUACAUUUCACAAUAAAUAUCUGCGCGCAGCAUUUCUGAAAAGACCGCACACAGACUGCGCACUUACAAAAAUAUUGAGAUUCAUCAGCUUGGGCGGGUGCCAUGCAUGUUUCCUGUUAUAAAUCAGACCCAUCCUGAAUUUGUUCGCUUGUGAAUGAGCGUUCAAAUCAGCCUGAAAAGCCUUUUAUGGUAACAGUAACGCCCCUUUUCGCUGUGUACUGAAAUUAAACCAUUGCCGUUUCUAAAUAGCAGUUCGCGAGCUUGAUAANNNNNNNNNNAUGUCUCUGGAGGUGUUGGCAGAAUGUUUUAAACUUUUACAGUGACAUUUGCUGAAAAAAACUAUUGCAAAUUGUUGUGGACCUAUAAACAUAUUGUAACUUUUUAAUAUGCUCCAAUGGCCGUGAAUUCUGAAACGUUGUCUACUCGGAAAGAAAUGACAACUACAGUACUUACAGUGGUAGCCUAUUCACUUCAAUACAAAAUAUCAACUGUCUGUUCUUCUGUUAAAGUCAUCUGUUAUAAACCACACUCCCUUUCGCAUGUUAUUAUAGCUUAAUCCGUUUAGUACUGUGAAGUGGGUCUAAUUAUAUUUACGAUUCAGUCAUUUAGCAGAGGCUCUAAUCCAGAGCGAUUUGUGAGAAUCGAACCCACAACCCUGGUGUUACGUCCGUCGUCAGAUGAAUGAGACCAAAGCCCAGCGUGGAAAGUGUUCUUGAUUUUUAAUAUUGAACUCCAACAAAAACGACCGUAAAGUUCUGUAGGCUACACAACACCUAUACAAAAUCAAGAUCCCACAACUCAAGGUGGGAAAACGGGCUGAUCCACAAUCAGAUCAAUACGAUCCACAAUCAGAGACAAUGAUAAACAGCUGCCUCUGAUUGGGAACCAUACUAGGCCAACAAAGAAAUAGAAACAUAGAUUUGCCCACCCAAGUCACACCCUGACCUAACCAAAUAGAGAAUAAAAGGGAUCUCUAAGGUCAGGGCGUGACACCUGGCCAUGCUCUACCAACUGAGAUACAUGUGACUUAAAUAACAGAUGCGAUGAAUGGCAGCCUAUCCUAACUUGUUGUAAGCCUAUAGGCUAAUGAAACCAUCACAGUUUGAAAAGGUGAGGAAAUUAUUCUGCAAUGAUCAUGGAAAUUAAAUAAAUAAUACAAAUAUACCUAUUUCUAACUAGAAAAUGGCAUUUACUGAAGUAAAUGUGGUGUGUUUGCUAGUCUUGAAGUACGAAUGGUUGUGAAAUAGUAGUAGUAGUGGAGGCAGUAGUAAUGUUAUUUUUUUUAUUUAUCCGUUAUUUUACCAGGUAAAUUGACUGAACACAUUCUCAUUUGCAGCAACGACAUGGGGAAUAGUUACAGGGGAGAGGAGGGGGAUUAAUGAGACAAUAGUUCUGUGGUUCAGUGGUUGUGUGGUUGUGCUCAGUAGUUGUGGUCAGUAGUUGUGUGGUUGUGGUCAGUAGUUGUGUGGUUGUGGUCAGUAGUUGUGUGGUCACUAUUCUGUGUUUCUGGUCAGUACUUUUGUGGUUGUGUUGUUGUGGUCAGUAAUUGUGUUCAGUAGUUGUGAGGUUCAGUGGUUGUGUGGUUGUGGUCAGUAAUUGUGGUUCAGUAGUUGUGUGGUUGAGGUCAGUAGCUGUGGUCAGUAGUUAUGGUCAGUAGUUGUGUGGUUGUGGUCAGUAGUUGUGUGGUUGUGGUCAGUAGUUAUGGUUAGUAGUUGUGGACAGUAGUUGUGGUCAGUAGCUAUGUGGUUGUGGUCAAUAGUUGUGGUCAAAUCGAUUGAUUGAUAGAAUAGGAUAGCCUGAACAUGUGAAAGUUUGUUUAGUGUUUCUCGCUUGAAUGGUUCAAGAGUUACAGUUGUUGAGUAGUUUAUGCUAAUUUAUGCAAAUGCAUAUAAAAAUGAAUUAGAAGUUAGGAUAGCCUGAAUGUUUUAAAGUUAGUCUUUUAGCUUACUUUUAUUUAUUUAACCAGGUAAGCUAGUUGAGAACAAAUUCUCAGUUACAACUGCGACCGGGCCAAGAUAAAGCAAAGCAGUGCGACACAAACAACAACACAGAGUUACACAUGGAAUAAACAAGCGUACCGUCAAUACCACAAUAGAA